AAUGAACGUUGGCGGCGUGGAUUAGGCAUGCAAGUCGAGCGGCAGCAGGCCCGCAAGGGCGCUGGCGAGCGGCGAAAGGGAGAGUAACACGCGGGUACCUACCCUCGGGACCGGGAUAGCUGCGGGAAACUGCAAUUAAUACCGGAUAAUGUCCCCGGACCAAAGGUGUGAUUCCGCCUGGGGAGGGGCCCACGUCCUAUCAGCUAGUUGGUGAGGUAAUGGCUCACCAAGGCAACGACGGGUACGGGGUGUGAGAGCAGGCCCCCGCUCACUGGGACUGAGAUACUGCCCAGACACUUACGGGUGGCUGCAGUCGAGAAUCUUCCGCAAUGGGCGAAAGCCUGACGGAGCGACGCCGCGUGCGGGAUGAAGGCCUUCGGGUUGUAAACCGCUGUCAGAGGGGAACAAAUUCAUGGGGGUUCUCCCCUGUGUUUGAGUGAUCCUCAGAGGAAGCACAGGCUAAGUCCGUGCCAGCAGCCGCCGUAA
rnacentral:rRNA from 1 species